rnacentral:rRNA from 1 species
AUGAGCCUGGCUGGCUGGGCGGGUUUCUUCCAAAACCAAAACCGACCGGUUCCCCCGCGAAUCAGUCGGGAGAUUAUAUUCACCCAAAAUAAUUUUGCGUGUGAAUUGAACAAAAGAAAAUCAAGAGCAGGCCAGUGCAGGCAGAGAGUUAAAAGUCUCCAUCGCUACCAACAGCAACGCCCCGGGCCGCCGAACCGCGUGAUGGAUGGAGUGACAUGUCAUGGCCAUGGCCAUGCCACCCACGGUCGGGGAUUAAUCACACAGGUGUUGGCCAGCCUGGUGCAUGAUAUAUGCAUGCAUGGUUCAGUUUCUUCUUCAUUUGCAGUUGCAAUUUCAUCUAUCGUCGUCGUCGCAAGCCCGCUCGUGCUCCUCGAGCUCGCCACACAGACAGCCUUAGCUCCUCCAGGUCGCGUCGCCAUGGCUCAUCAUAAACAAUCACAGGGGGCGAUGGGAGACGAUGGCGGCACAUUAUUAUCUGCUGCUGUAGAUGUAGAUGAUCAUGGGCAGGGGCAGGGCCUUCCAGUUCCAGAUGAAGACGACGACUACGACGGCAUCUCCUCCUCGUCCUCGCCCACCGGGAAUAAACAUAAUAAGCAGACGAGCUGCCUUCUGCCAGCACGCAGCCUGAGAUCAACAGAUGAAGCAAGUCAUCAUAGCCAGCAAGCAGACGGCGGCGUCCGGUCGCUGUCCUUCUCCAAGAUCUUCAGCUUCAGAAUGUGGGCGCCCGCCGGCUCAUCCCUGUCCAUUGAUCAACAUCAACUCGAGCAUGAUGAUGAUUAUGCUGCUGCCAGUGCCGGUGCUGCCAAUAAGGAUAACAAGGAGGACGACGACGAGGAGAAGUUGAUGAAGCAGGUAUGCCGCUCCCAGUCCGUGCCAGCUACGAGCGUCGCCAGGCGAUUCAGCGGCACUGCAAAAGUUAAAGGGUCGUCGUCGAGGAGGGUGGCAGAUUCCAGCUCCCUCACCCUCACCCUCAGGCAGCGGCCGCGCCUCAGAGUGGUGCCACUGUGUGUUCCUCUUCAUCAUCAUCCUCUAGAUCAGGCUGCAAGCGCCACCACUGGAGGAGAAACCAAGGAAGAAGAAGAACAACAAGAGGACAUCGCGGCCCAGGAGGCGGUGUGCCGCAUCUGCAUGGUAGCCUGUCGGAGGAGGCGGGCCUGCGCCAUCAAAUGGUUCAGCAGCAAGGGCAACGGCACCUGCGACGUGUGCAGCCAGGAGGUGCUCAACCUUCCAGUCACCCUGCGACGCCUGCCGGACCCGCCAUCGUUCAGUCGGCGGUGGCUCUGGAGGCUGGUGGUUCUGGUGAUCCUACUACCGCUGCAACCACCACCACCAGCAGCAGCAGAUACAGCAGCUACAGGGUGUGGCACGGCACGCCAAUCCUCGUCAUCGUCAGAAUGCUCGCCUACUUCUACUUCCUGGAGCAGCUGCUGGUCAGUUGCUUUGCUUCCUGCCUGCUUCUGCUUCCUCUUUCCUGGAACAGCUGCUGAUCAGAAUGAAACUGGAAAUGCACAGCAGGUCGGCGACCAUGACACGGCGGCUCUGGCCAUCUCCUUGCCCUUCGCCUGCGUCCUUGGCCUCUUCUCCUCCCUAACCACAACAAAGCUGGUGUCCAGGAGAUAUGUGCGGAUGCAAGCCGUGAUCGCCAUCAUCCUGUCCACCUUCGCGGGCUUCAGCGUCGCCGUCUGCACCAACUCCGCCCUCCUCCAGAUUCUCAGAUGGAGGGCCAGGCACGUUGUGACCACAACCGCUACAGCUGCCGACGCUCAGGGCCAUGGUUCCAGUUCCAGGGACAGGGAGCCACCAGCACCAGUGGCAGUGGCGGAGCCGGACCUUGAGAUCGAUCUGCCUCAUGCACAUGCUCCUGCAUAG